rnacentral:rRNA from 1 species
GGGUUGUGAGGUUAAGCGACUAAGCGUACACGGUGGAUGCCCUGGCAGUCAGAGGCGAUGAAGGACGUGCUAAUCUGCGAUAAGCGCCGGUAAGGUGAUAUGAACCGUUAUAACCGGCGAUUUCCGAAUGGGGAAACCCAGUGUGACUCGUCACACUAUCAUUAACUGAAUCCAUAGGUUAAUGAGGCGAACCGGGGGAACUGAAACAUCUAAGUACCCCGAGGAAAAGAAAUCAACCGAGAUUCCCCCAGUAGCGGCGAGCGAACGGGGAGGAGCCCAGAGCCUGAAUCAGCAUGUGUGUUAGUGGAAGCGUCUGGAAAGGCGCGCGAUACAGGGUGACAGCCCCGUACACAAAAGCGCAUGUGCUGUGAGCUCGAUGAGUAGGGCGGGACACGUGGUAUCCUGUCUGAAUAUGGGGGGACCAUCCUCCAAGGCUAAAUACUCCUGACUGACCGAUAGUGAACCAGUACCGUGAGGGAAAGGCGAAAAGAACCCCGGCGAGGGGAGUGAAAAAGAACCUGAAACCGUGUACGUACAAGCAGUGGGAGCCCCACCACUAAGCCAGUGGUGAACUCCACAUACGCAUCCUUUGCUGAGGAUACGGUUAACGGAGCGAAAGCGACGUUCAACCGCAAAAGAAGCAGAGGGGGCUUAGUGGUGGGGUGACUGCGUACCUUUUGUAUAAUGGGUCAGCGACUUAUAUUCUGUAGCAAGGUUAACCGAAUAGGGGAGCCGGAGGGAAACCGAGUCUUAACCGGGCGUUAAGUUGCAGGGUAUAGACCCGAAACCCGGUGAUCUAGCCAUGGGCAGGUUGAAGGUUGGGUAACACUAACUGGAGGACCGAACCGACUAAUGUUGAAAAAUUAGCGGAUGACCUGUGGCUGGGGGUGAAAGGCCAAUCAAACCGGGAGAUAGCUGGUUCUCCCCGAAAGCUAUUUAGGUAGCGCCUCGUGAAUUCAUCUCCGGGGGUAGAGCACUGUUUCGGCUAGGGGGCCAUCCCGGCUUACCAACCCGAUGCAAACUGCGAAUACCGGAGAAUGUUAUCACGGGAGACACACGGCGGGUGCUAACGUCCGUCGUGAAGAGGGAAACAACCCAGACCGCCAGCUAAGGUCCCAAAGUCAUGGUUAAGUGGGAAACGAUGUGGGAAGGCCCAGACAGCCAGGAUGUUGGCUUAGAAGCAGCCAUCAUUUAAAGAAAGCGUAAUAGCUCACUGGUCGAGUCGGCCUGCGCGGAAGAUGUAACGGGGCUAAACCAUGCACCGAAGCUGCGGCAGCGACGCUGAUGCGUUGUUGGGUAGGGGAGCGUUCUGUAAGCCUGUGAAGGUGGCCUGUGAGGGUUGCUGGAGGUAUCAGAAGUGCGAAUGCUGACAUAAGUAACGAUAAAGCGGGUGAAAAGCCCGCUCGCCGGAAGACCAAGGGUUCCUGUCCAACGUUAAUCGGGGCAGGGUGAGUCGACCCCUAAGGCGAGGCCGAAAGGCGUAGUCGAUGGGAAACGGGUUAAUAUUCCCGUACUUGGUGUUACUGCGAAGGGGGGACGGAGAAGGCUAUGUUGGCCGGGCGACGGUUGUCCCGGUUUAAGCGUGUAGGUGUGUGUUCCAGGUAAAUCCGGUUCACUUUAACACUGAGGCGUGAUGACGAGGCACUACGGUGCUGAAGCAACAAAUGCCCUGCUUCCAGGAAAAGCCUCUAAGCAUCAGGUAACAUCAAAUCGUACCCCAAACCGACACAGGUGGUCAGGUAGAGAAUACCAAGGCGCUUGAGAGAACUCGGGUGAAGGAACUAGGCAAAAUGGUGCCGUAACU